CUGGAGCAAAGUUACUAGUACGGGACAGAUUACAAUAGAUUGCAAGAAAGAAAUGCACAAGGCUAAACAUACACAUACACUGGCAGAGUACUAAUCAAAGUAUUACAUAUCAUAAUUUUACAGAAAUUUAGUGUUCAGAACAGUACACAAGUUCACCUAGCAGUUUACAGAAUUUUGCAAGAAGUAAAGAGAGAAGAGAAGCAGCAGCAGUUUGGGUUCAGAGAAGAAGACAGUAGCAAGAGGCGUGGGCAAGAAGAGAGCAGCAGUAGCAGGUUGAAGACAGCAGCAGCAAGGCAGAGAGAAAAAGCAGCAGCGGUAGGUGAACAGAGAAGAAGAAGAAGCAGUAGGCAGGAGAAGAAGGUGCAGCUGCAGCGCACAAGCAGCAGCAGCAAGAGGAGAAGCAGAACGGGAGCAGCAAGAGAGAGGUAGCAGUUUCGAGAUGGAGAGGAGCAGCAGAGAUUGAGAAGAGUGUCAGCUGCGAGGCAAGGGAAGGGGAAGCUGCAGAGCGAUGGAGGAGUGGAGGAAAGAAGCAGGGGGCGGUGAGAGAAAAGAGAAGGAGCGGGGAGGAGCGCUCACGCGGAGCUUCAGACGCCCGCGUCCUCGUGUCUGAUGGGACGCGGACGGCGAAGUGGAGGGAUGGCGCUGGUGUAGUGGUGGAUGGAUGGCACGGCACGGCUGGGAUGGAUGGAUGGUGCUCGUGGCUGAGUGGAGGAGCAGCAGGCGCACCGCCACGCCGGCCUGGCCGCGGCGGCGGCCGGUGGUGGAGAAGGAGGGGUGAGGGAGAGAGAUGAGAUGCCAGGCCUGAUCCAAAAAAUUGGUUGCGCUAGGGAUUUUGUUCCCCUUCUCUCAGCUGCCACUGUUGCACUUUGGCCCUCCUCAUCUCAACUUUCUACGCAAGAAGAUCCAUUCUUCAUUUAGUUCGCGCCCCUGGAUACUUCUUCCUUCCUAGUUGGGUCCCUCUUCUCUUCUUG
rnacentral:rRNA from 1 species